GGAGCUUGCUCCUUUGAAGUUAGCGGCGGACGGGUGAGUAACACGUGGGUAACCUACCUAUAAGACUGGAAUAACUUCGGGAAACCGGAGCUAAUGCCGGAUAACAUUUGGAACCGCAUGGUUCUAAAGUAAAAGAUGGUUUUGCUAUCACUUAUAGAUGGACCCGCGCCGUAUUAGCUAGUUGGUAAGGUAACGGCUUACCAAGGCAACGAUACGUAGCCGACCUGAGAGGGUGAUCGGCCACACUGGAACUGAGACACGGUCCAGACUCCUACGGGAGGCAGCAGUAGGGAAUCUUCCGCAAUGGACGAAAGUCUGACGGAGCAACGCCGCGUGAGUGAUGAAGGUUUUCGGAUCGUAAAACUCUGUUAUUAGGGAAGAACAAAUGUGUAAGUAACUGUGCACAUCUUGACGGUACCUAAUCAGAAAGCCACGGCUAACUACGUGCCAGCAGCCGCGGUAAUACGUAGGUGGCAAGCGUUAUCCGGAAUUAUUGGGCGUAAAGCGCGCGUAGGCGGUUUCUUAAGUCUGAUGUGAAAGCCCACGGCUCAACCGUGGAGGGUCAUUGGAAACUGGGAAACUUGAGUACAGAAGAGGAAAGUGGAAUUCCAUGUGUAGCGGUGAAAUGCGCAGAGAUAUGGAGGAACACCAGUGGCGAAGGCGACUUUCUGGUCUGUAACUGACGCUGAUGUGCGAAAGCGUGGGGAUCAAACAGGAUUAGAUACCCUGGUAGUCCACGCCGUAAACGAUGAGUGCUAAGUGUUAGGGGGUUUCCGCCCCUUAGUGCUGCAGCUAACGCA
rnacentral:rRNA from 1 species